AUUGAACGCUGGCGGCAGGCCUAACACAUGCAAGUCGAGCGAGCGGCGGACGGGUGAGUAAUGUCUGGGAAACUGCCUGAUGGAGGGGGAUCACUACUGGAAACGGUCGCCAAUACCGCAUACCAUCAGAGGUGCCCAGCUGGGAUUAGCUAGUAGGUGGGGUAACGGCUCACAUAGGCGACGAUCCCUAGCUGGUCUGAGAGGAUGACCAGCCACACUGGAACUGAGACACGGUCCAGACGCCGACGGGAGGCAGCAGUGGGGAAUAUUGCACAAUGGGCGCAAGCCGGAUGCAGCCAUGCCGCGUGUAUGAAGAGGGCCUUUGGGUUGUAAAGUACGUUAAGCGGGGAGGCGUUACCCGCAGAAGAAGCACCGGCUAACUCCGUGCCAGCAGCCGCGGUAAUAC
rnacentral:rRNA from 1 species